rnacentral:rRNA from 1 species
GGACCCGCACAAGCGGUGGAGUAUGUGGUUUAAUUCGAUGCAACACGAAGAACCUUACCAGGGUUUGAAAUCAUUUCAAAACUCCUUGAAAGAGGAGCCUCCUUCGGGAUGAAAUGACAGGUGGUGCAUGGCUGUCGUCAGCUCGUGUUGUGAAAUGUCGAGUUAAGUCUCGUAACGAGCGCAACCCAUGUCUCUUGUUGCUCAUUGAGUGCUUAAGAGAGACUGCCGACCAACAUCGGAGGAAGGUGUGGAUGAUGUCAAGUCAGCAUGCCCCUUACAUCCUGGGCUACACACGUACUACAAUGGCCAGUACAAAGAGCAGCGAAGCCGUAAGGUGUAGCUAA